GCCGCGAGGCAGAGCGAACCCCAAAAAGCCGUCCCAGUUCGGAUCGCAGGCUGCAACCCGCCUGCGUGAAGUCGGAAUCGCUAGUAAUCGCGGAUCAGCAUGCCGCGGUGAAUACGUUCCCGGGCCUUGUACACACCGCCCGUCACACCAUGAGAGUCGGGAACACCCGAAGUCCGUAGCCUAACCGCAAGGAGGGCGCGGCCGAAGGUGGGUUCGAUAAUUGGGGUGAAGUCGUAACAAGGUAGC
rnacentral:rRNA from 1 species